GUACUUGCUUUGGCAGCACAUAUACUAAAUUUGGACCGAUACAGAGAUUAGCAUGGCCCCUGCACAGGAUGACAUGCAAAUUCAUGAAGCAUUCCAUAUUUUG
rnacentral:snRNA from 1 species